rnacentral:rRNA from 1 species
UGAGGAAUAUUGCGCAAUGGGGGCAACCCUGACGCAGCGACGCCGCGUGAGUGAGGAAGGCCUUCGGGUCGUAAAGCUCUGUCAAAGGGAAAGAAGUGCAUGGUGGCUAAUACCUGCCAUGUUUGACGGUACCCUUAAAGGAAGCACCGGCUAACUCCGUGCCAGCAGCCGCGGUGAUACGGAGGGUGCAAGCGGUGUUCGGAAUCACUGGGCGUAAAGGGCGCGUAGGCGGUUGGAUAAGUCAGAUGUGAAAGCCCACGGCUUAACUGUGGAAGGGCAUUUGAAACUGUCAGACUUGAGUAUCAGAGGGGAAAGUGGAAGUCCCGGUGUAGAGGUGAAAUUCGUAGAUAUCGGGAGGAAUACCGGUGGCGAAGGCGACUUUCUGGCUGAAUACUGACGCUGAGGCGCGAAAGCGUGGGGAGCAAACA